rnacentral:misc_RNA from 1 species
AACAAGGCGUACCUGCGGACCUGCGGAGGGAUCAUUACCGAGUUUACAACUCCCAAACCCCUGUGAACAUACCUAUACGUUGCCUCGGCGGAUCAGCCCGCGCCCCGUAAAACGGGACGGCCCGCCCGAGGACCCUAAACUCUGUUUUUAGUGGAACUUCUGAGUAAAACAAACAAAUAAAUCAAAACUUUUAACAAUGGAUCU